AGCUCCAGGGUCAGCAGGCCCAAGGGUAGUCUGCAACCUCCAUGUAAGCAACUCCAUGUCAUUGGAAUUCAGCUGUCACCCAUAGCUCUGUUCUGUUUUCUUCGGUGUCUCUCUCUUCUCCAGCAGGCAUUCUCUUUAAUAUUCAAUUCUCUCAGCAACCCUAGUGGACAGAGAGAUUCUACCCAAUAUUAAAACAAAAACCCCAGAAUUGGCUAACUCUGUUGACUCCAGAAUGUUUUGAUUGCCCAGAUCUUGGUUCCUUUCUCAUCCCUGCAGUGGUAGGAUGUCGGCCUCAUCCAAAUUUUGUGGAUUGAGAUGAACUGGAAGAGUGAUUCCCACAGGAAAAUCUGAAUGCUUUUACAAAGAAGAGAAUGGACAUUGGGAAGGUGGAAACAAUGGUUGUCCACAAUAGACUGCAUUACCUAAUUCCCUGAAUAUUCUUGAAAGGAUAUCCUGCAAUAAUGCCUGCCUACCACCAUCUUUUCAUCAUCCAAAAUCUUUAAGUAUUAAGGAAGAGAAUUGGGUGAGCAAGGAUAAAUUCAGUUUGACACAUGUUAGCGGUGACCACUGUGGGAGCACCGUCUGAGUUAUGGACCAGGAGGCUGGGUAGAGGGCUGGCCUAAAGGAGAGGGAGGCUCCCCAUGCAAUGUCCGUUGAUGCUUUCCAUCAUGGUUCUGUCUUUCUCAACCUCUGGAAAGACAGAUUGAGGAGUGGAUGGGAAAAAUCAGGACUUUUUUUCCAUUGCCAGGAAAAUAAGAAUUAAAAUGAUGACAAGGUAAAGAGCUACCCCUGGAAGAGCAUUGAAGACAUAGGUAAUGACAGGUGUUAAGAUAGGAACAUAACAGCUAUCUCUCUUAUUUCCAAGUAAUUUGUACUGUUUUGUUUUUUAUACUUAUGUACCUGUUUCUAUGUGUGUAUAUGUUUAAUUUUAUUUAGAAUUUCAGGUACAACUCUUGUGAUUUGCCAUCAGCUUCGCAAAGAUCAAUUAUCCCCUUUGUUCCAUUCCUUUGCACCUUCUCUUAAAGAAACAUACACACAGGAGUUCUUGUUGUGGUACAGCGGACAUGAAUCCUACAUAACCAUAAGGUUGCAGGUUCAAUCCCUCGCCUCAUUCAGUGGGUUAAGGAUCCGGUGUUGCCAUGAGCUGUGGUGUAGGUCGAAAGUGCGGCUCAGAUCCAGCAUUGCUGUGGCUGUGGAUGGCAACCUUAGCUCUGAUUCAGCCCCUAGCCUGGGAACCUUCAUAUGCUGCAGGUGCAGUCCUAAAAAUAAAAAAGAAACACACGCACAUACAUAACUUACUUGUGAUGUGGCUGAGGCUUGUGGAAGGAAGUGCUACAGAUGGAGAGGAAUCUCAGGUCCAAGGCUUGCCUGUGAUGCUACGUAAGUAGUUUACCUGCACCUUGCUUCUUUUCAGGAUUCUGGACCACAGCACUAUGCUCACCUUCACAUUAGGUCACUUUAGGUCUGCUGUAGUGCUUCCCAGAGCACAUUCAGUGGAACACUAGCAUCUAGGAUGCUGUCUUUAAUAGAGGUAUAGACAGUGCUGCAAUCUCUAGCCCAGGUUUGGAGGUUGCAGUGUACAUUAGCAUAGGAAAAGCUCUGAGAAGUCUGUAGCUGAAAGUGUCUAAUGUAUUACUUUUCAGACUGACUUGAGCGUGGAACUUUCUGCUCCCUACCCCCUCAAAAGUAUUACAUGUAGUGCUUUUAUUCUGCAGAUCAUACUUUUGGGGGCGGUGGAACUUGGUGUAGUAGAAUUUUUUUAGAAAAAGAUAAACUUGUCUGUUCCUGGAGUAUUUCUAAGAAGCUGAGUAGUUGUGGGGAACCUGGUGGCUAACUCUUGCUCCUGCCUUAAAUCAUUUAUGCCCACCCACCAGGGCUUCAAAUCACUGGCCCCACCCAGUCUCAUAGCAUCUUCUCUUCUUGUCAGGAAUUGGAGGGGUCAGGUGUGUGGACAGGCUGGGAUUUUUUGUGCAUCAUGUGGUAAAUUACAAUGUCCCCAAUGUCUUUUUCUUAUCUUUUCUUUCUUUUUUUCUUUUUAAGGGCUGCACCUGUGGCAUAUGGAAGUUCCCAGGCUAGGGAUGGAAUUGGAGCUGCAGCUGCUGGCCCGUGCCACAGACAAAGCAAUGCCAGAUCCAUGCUGUGUCUGUGACCUGCACGGAAGCUCAUGGCAAUGCCUGAUCUUUAACCCACUGAGCGAGGCCAGGGAUCAAACCUGCAUCCUCAUGGAUGCUAGUCGGAUUCAUAACCUGCUGAGCCACAGCAGGAACUCCCAGUGCCCUCAAUUUCUUGAGAGUCACAUUGACUGUUUUUCUUGCUUCAGAACCUUAACAUAACAGUAGAACUCAAUUGAGCUCAGCAAGGAGGGUUCGGAGAUGUGUGUAGAAAUUCCCUUGACUUAGGGGUCCAGGGAGAAUGCCAGAGCCUUGUGGCGGCUUAGGCCAAGUCUUGGUAAUAGGUCAGGGAGAAACCCCUGGGGUUGGAGCACCAUGGGAGAAAUGGUUGGCCAUUCCAUGAGGCCACGCCUGAGACCCAAACACCUAGAAUUUCAGAACUCUGACCUAGGCACCACUUGCCAGCAACUAUCACCAAGAUACAAAGACGGGGUCCUCAAGGCAGUGGACAUACGAAUGAGGAGGCAAGUUGGGCUUUCUUAAUGGGCUUUUAAAAAGAGACACUUGCACUUUUAACAAUCCCCUACCGGCCCUUCUUUGCUGAUGGGCUCUCCAGAAAAAAAGAGCCUGCCUGGAUAUUCUGAGUGUCUUCUUGAAGAUGUAGAACUUAAGUGGGUGUUGUUUUUUUAAAAAAGCUGUUGAUCCUGUACAUCAAGGAAAAGCUUUUGGAGCUCUUGACAACCUGAGUGGGUGCUAUUUGCAGGUGUGAGUUUUAUUUUUCGGGAGUUCAGAAGGUGAAAUAGCAGCCAAGUUUCAAUUACAGCCCUGAAUGUGACCCAGGCUAGGAAAUAACUUCAACUUCAAUGUGAGCUUGAACUCCCCAUCCAUAUCUAGAGGAAGAAGUGUGCAAAAGGAAGUGAAAAACCACCUAAACCUCUUAUGGAGGGAGCAAGUGGUGAGUGCCUUUGCUAACAAUACCAAGAAAACAGCUUUAGCACAAGAGGGUCUGCUGCGAGAACAGCACUGGGUCAGUCCCUCAGGGGCUAUCUUAGCUGUUUGUCCCUGCACUGAGGGAACUGAACACUAAACACAUAAUACCAUUUGUACCUUCUUGUGCGACUCUUUUUCCAAAUGUUAAGAACUAGUGCUAUUAUGAAUAAUACACAAAUUCAUUUUAAAGCUAUACUGAAUUCAUACUUACUCCAUAAAGUAUUUUCUCAAGUGAAAAAUUCUAUCAUGUAGGAACAGGUCUGUGAAAAUUUUAGAUGUUUAAAAGAGGUCCUUAUGCUUUCUUGAAAAGAUUGGAAUGACUGUUAUAUUGUACAAUUAUUUUCUCCCCCAUAGUCUCCUGUUGGUUACCUGUCUUGCUCAUGUGAUUAUAAUGGAAUGUUCUGAAACAUUUGAACUUCUUGGCACAAACCAAGGGAGUCUGCUUGUGUCAGGGGUAAUUUAGGAGAGAGAAGCAGUGGGAAGAUUGGACAUCAGGUCAGUUAUUGAGCUCUUCUCAGUCAUCAUUCAAAGAGGUGAAGUUCUACUUGGCAUCAGUGAUUGGGUAAUUCUACGAGGUUUCCAAGCUCAGCUGCCUUGCUUUAAGAUAAAGAAAGCGAUGUUUUCUUCCUUCAGGUGUUUUCUUCCACAAAGUAACAGCCUUUCAAGAUGUCAAGUGUUCAGAUUUCCUUGACUGACACUUAUCACUGCUUUAAGGAUUUCAAAACAUUUCCACAAAUGUUAUCUGAUUUCAUCCUCACAGGCACAUAUGUUUAGGCUUGGAGAAGCUAUGAGAUUUAAUCAAAUUCACAUGAUUAGUGAAGUAACUGAAACAUGAACACAAAGCUUUUGGUUCCAUUAGUUCUGAACCAUGACAUACACGUGUCUCUGGCAGGUCAUACCUCGGUGCCCUUUCAAAUGGGUAUUCUUAAAUAUUUGUUCAGAUUUAGAGUUGAGGAUGUAUCAGGAAUAAUUUCUCUGAGGAAAGGGUAGAAAAGGAAGAUGCUAGCAGUAGCUUCCCAGUUUUUCAUGUCUUCUCAGAAAAGCUGAAGUGCUACUUUAUUGUCUGUGUUGUCCAAGCAUUCCCCUUUGGAGAUUAUGUUAGGAUUUUCUUUUUAUUUAAAUGAUGGAAAACAAAUAGGUUUAAGCAAAAAUGAGAAUGUCCUCAUCAUUUAAAGGUAAAGUCCAGGGAAAUAUCUCACUUUGGGCAUAGCUGGAUCCAGGGGCUUGAAUGAUGUCAUCAAGACCCAUCACUUUCGCUCCACAUCUCUAUUCUUUCUCCUGCUUCAUUCUCCACCAGGGUCUUCUCACUGAUAAUGGCAAGAGGUGGUUGGGUUUUGGCUUACAUCCUAUCCUUUCAGCAAUCCCAGCAGAAAGAGUCUCUGUAACAAUUCCCAACAAUGUCCCCAAAGAGUUGAGUAUCAUGGAAUUGACCUGGGUCAUUUGGCUAACCAGAAGUAAUUACUAUAACUAGAGGGAUUGGCUGCUCUGAUUGGCCAUGCCUGGAUCACAGGCCAAUUCCCACUGCCUGAUGGAAUCAAGCCACAUGGGAGUCAGACUCCAAGACCGAGACCAUAUGCACUGAGAGUGGGGGAAGUUGUUUCCCAAGGAAAAUAUUGAUUCUGGUGCCAAAAGAUAAGGGGAUGGAUACUGGGCAGUCCAAGGCAACAAAUAUGUACUAAGAAAUCUUUUUCUGUCCUCCUGAACAGUCAGUAGCUUAUCAAAAUAUUCCUUUAAACAACAUUUGGAUGCUCCCUGAGUAGAUCUCUAAUUACAUAAUUUUCUGUAUUUCAUUACAUUGUGAAUCAGUUCCCUGGGCAUCUUACCAACUGACUCUGUCUUUACUAGGUGAGGAAGCUGGAGAGCAAAGGGAAUUAGCUAGGAUAGGGUAGAAUUCAGAUCAGAUCCUGGCCCUGGACCCUUGGCUUCUAGAACCAGCAAGUACCACUGAUUCUGCCACUGGGACAGUCCAGCAGAAGAGCCUUGCUUGUCCCACAAUCUACCUGGGCUCUACUAGGAGCUGAGGGCUAUAGGUGCACCAUGAGAUCUCCAGAUUUAGUGAUUAAGCCAUACUGGCCUGAGGUACCCACAACCUACUGAAGGCUCUGCAGAGGGUGGGUCAGUGUGCUUAAUGCAGUGGACUCUUUGUAUCAUUCAAAAUAUGUGCAUUGAUUUAGUUAAAAGAUCAUGCUUAAGAGUCCCCAGAAAGAAACCAGGUGGAAGGAAACAUACUAGGUGUUACUAGGAGUAGCCUAGGCUUGUAAGAUUGAGGAAGAGACUUUUACUUUUUGCUUUAUCUGUUCUCUUUUGUCAACUAAUUUAGAAAAAGGGAUCACGCUAUAGUAGGUUAUCUGGGGGACUCACUUUUGGCCCUGAACACAGUGUUUGAGGAAGACUGACGAAAUACUUUUGACAGGAAGCUGACUGGGAGUUUGGGGUCAGAGUGAAAGCUCAGAAGCCAAACAUGAGUCUGCUGCAGACCCAGAAAAGUUAAGGUCUUUGAAGGAUAAGGACUUUUUUUUUUUCAGUGGCACUGAUCCUGCUAGGCAGUGUACUUGCUCCACUGGAUCCAACACCGUCAAGACCUAUUGACUGGUAGGCAUGAUGAUCACUGCCUCGCAGCCUGGCCUCCUGCCUGCUGGGCAAUUUACAAAGUGUAAGAGAAAAAUAAUCGCUAAACCAACCACACCUACAUUUUGACCUAACAGGGAAUUGCCCCGCUUCUUCGCUAGGCUUUACUCCAAAUGACUUUAGACUUGUUCCUGUCGUCAAAUGUGUCCUGAAAUUGUAAAGAUUUGCCAUUGCUGAGGAUGUCUAGCAUAAUGAAGUAUAAAUCCUGAAGGCAACAGAGGAUUUCCCAAAUAUUUAUAACACAGGGCUCCUCUCUUGAAAUAAAGAUCUCACCUUCCCAGGUGAUUACUUCAGGGGAGGUCCUAUUCAUGUAUUUAAGCAGGGAUACCCUUCUCACCAUUGCCUGAGAAUGUCUGGUGGCCCCAGCUUUACUUGGGGCUUAACCUUCUUGCUCUUCUUUCCCUCUGCUGCUUAUUUCUCAAAAAGGGCCUGGGUCUCUCCUUACCUUUACUUCAUCCUUCUUUUGUGCCAAGUGAAAUCUGCAGAGGCCAGACUGGCAGUGGCUAUGAUGUAUCCUUUUGAAUCCCUGGUACAUCUCAGGAUACUGGAAGUUCUAGAGCACUGGGUUUUUAUUAGAAAACUGGAAAAGAGAGGUACCUGGACUAAGAUGAAACUAAACUUUCAACUGUGGGCACUAGAAGAAGAUGCCCAGGUGGGUCGAGGUGGGGCACAGGGGUGUAGAAGCAAACUGGAGACAGGGCAGCUGGCCAGAAACUCUCCUGUGCCCUAGGGUCUUUUGAUUAAAUACCCACUGGUUGUACAGCCAUGCUGGUGCAUGGCAUGGUGUGGAAGGAGGUUGUCUUUAAGGAUAAUUCCACCUUUAAGAUGUGAGUAGUUCUUGCUGCUGUGCAGCAGGAUCAGUGGCAUCUCUGCAGCACUGGGAUGAAGGUUCAAUCCCCAGCC
rnacentral:lncRNA from 1 species